AGUAACGGGGCGUGGUUUGCGGGUGAUGGGCGUGGCCUGCGUGCGCGGCACGCCGGGAGCGGAAGUGGCGGCCGCGUGGCGGAGGCGGCAAUGGCGGCCCCCGGCAGGAGGAGCCUGGCGGAGCUGAGCCUGGACGAGGUCCUCGCUGCCAGCUCGGAGUCGGAGCCUGACGGCGGCUGGGAGGAGGAGGAGGAGGAGGAGAAGAAGCCCACCCAGGGGGCAGCGAGGCGGCGGAGGCCGAGCGGGAAGGAGGGGAAGGAGCCGCAGGCGCAGCCGGGCAGGAAGAAAGGAAAGGCAUCUGAACACAAGGAUCAGCUCUCCAGGCUGAAGGACAGAGAUCCUGAGUUCUACAAGUUUUUGGAGGAAAACGAUCGCGCGUUGCUGGAUUUUGAUGCCUCCGACAGUUCUGAGGAGGAGGAGCCACUGCACAGACCCCCUGAUACACUGGAGGAAGCAAGUGAUGAAGAUGAUGAAGAAGAGGAAGAACAAGAAAAAGUCAAAAGGAAGAGAGAUUCUUUCAUCACUGUGAGCCUGAAAAUGGUUGAAAACUGGAAAAAAGCUGCAGAGAGAAAUCUGACACCGAGGCUCUUCCACGAAAUCACUCAAGCCUAUAAAGCAGCUGUAGCAACCACCAAAGGAGACAGUGAGGGUGAUCCCAGCAAGUUCCAAGUGACUGAUACUGCAGUGUUCAAUGCCCUUGUGUCCUUCUGUAUCCGGGACCUCUUCCACUACCUGCAGGAGCUGCUGCUUCCCAGGGCCCCAAAGAAGAAAGCAAAGCUGGUUCUCCCUUCCACCAGCCCACUCUGGGGCAAACUGCGACUGGACAUAAAAGCGUACCUUGGCUGUACCAUACAACUCCUGUCCUGUUUGACAGAAGCCUCCGUGGGUGCAGCAGUGCUCCAGCACGUCAACUCCAUAGUGCCUUAUUAUUUAUCCUUCCCCAAGCAGUGCCGUGCCCUUCUCAAGCAAACAAUUACUUUGUGGAGCACAGGUGAGGAAACAGUGAGAGUCCUGGCCUUCCUUGUGCUGAACAAGUUCUGCCGCUACAAGAAGGAGAUUUACCUGAGUCCCUUGCUCAAGCAAAUGUACAUUGCCUUUGUGAAGAACUCCAGGUUCACCUCUCCCAACGUCCUGCCCAUGAUCAACUUCAUGCAGCGCACCCUGACAGAGAUGUUUGCCCUGGACACCCACACCUCCUACCAGCACGCCUUCAUCUACAUCCGCCAGCUCGCCAUCCACCUGCGCAGCGCCAUGACCAUCAAGAAGAAGGAGAACUUCCAGUCUGUUUAUAACUGGCAGUAUAUCCACUGCCUGUAUUUCUGGUGCCGUGUUCUCAGCACAAUCUAUCCCAGUGAGGUCAUGGAGCCCUUGAUCUAUCCUUUGACACAGGUCAUCAUUGGCUGUAUAAAGCUGGUACCAACGAACCGUUUCUACCCUCUGCGCAUGCACUGCAUCCGUGCCCUUACCCUGCUGUCUGAGAACACCAGGACCUUCAUCCCAGUGUUGCCAUUUAUCCUGGAGGUCUUCCAACAAGUGGAUUUCAACAAGAAGCCAGGGCGAAUGAGUUCCAAGCCCAUAAACUUCGCCGUGAUCUUGAAGCUUUCCAAUGCCAACCUGCAGGAAAAGGCCUUCAGAGAUGGACUCAUUGACCAGCUCUAUGACCUGAUGCUUGAGUAUCUCCACAGCCAAGCCCACAGCAUUGGGUUCCCAGAGCUGGUUCUGCCCACUGUCAUUCAGCUGAAAUCCUUCCUGAAGGAGUGCAAGGUUGCCAACUACUGCAAGCCCAUCCGGCAGCUCCUGGAGAAGCUGCAGGAAAACUCUGCCUACAUCUCCAGCAAGCGCCAGAGAGCCGCCUUCGGCGUGGCCAGCAAGGAGGCUGUGGAACAAUGGGAGAAGCAGGUCAAAGAGGAGGGGACACCUCUGACCAAGUAUUACACUCAGUGGAAGAAGCUGAGGGAGAAGGAGAUACAACUGGAAAUCAGUGGCAAAGAAAGGCUUGAAGACUUGAACUUCCCAGAAAUCAAGCGCAAGAAGCCUGAUGAAAGAAAGGAGGAAGAUAAGAAGGAAUUCAAGGACCUCUUCGAGAUGGACAGUGACUCUGAUGAGGAGAACAGUGGAUUCUCUGUAAAAGGUAAAGGCAAAGCCAAGCAGGCAUCAGAUGACAGCUCAGAAGAGAGCAGCAAGGAGUAUGGUGAGGAUGAUGAUGACGAAGAAGGAAGUUAUGAAAUCGAGGAGGACGAGGAAGAACUGGGAGAGGACAGUGAGUCAGAUGAGGAAGGCAGGGAAGGCGCUCAGAAUUCCCAAGGGCCACGGAAGCAGAGGAGCUGCCCCCGAGGGAUGUCACGCUCCGACCUGGAACAGCUCGCCCAGGGCGGGGAGGACAUCGUGGAGGACCUGGCUUUCUCAGAUGAUGACUGAGCUCCCUCACAGCCUCCCCUCCACACUGAUCCCUUACAGACUGGAUUCCCUGAGCCUCCAGCACCUGGAGCAGGGGGGGUGCUGAGUACCAUUGGGAGGAGCGGAGCCCCUUCCCCUUCCCUGCUUGGAGUCACACCCAGGAGUUCCUGACAGCCAGGAUUCUUUGAAGGCAAAGAACAGCGUUCAUUCCCUGUCCAGGGCUCUCCAUCUCUGGGCGAGAAAGGGAACAGGAAUGCUGCAGCCAUCCUCCAGAAUCCUUCUCUUCACUCGCGUUGGCUCAGGACAUCUUUGGAUCAUUUUCUUUCCUUCCCUUUUUUUUUUUUUGAAAUCUUCUGUGGUUUUUUUUUUUUAUGAUUUUCCCAAACAAAAAAAAAAAAAAAAAAAGCAAAUUCGUCCCAAAAAAACCCGAAAAACCAAAUGAAAACCUCCCUUUUCCUCCCUCACUCCUGCGUCUCGCGCUGCGGGCGGGGGGGAGGCUCCGGCGUUAUCCUUCGGCUCGUCCCGCUGGAUCCCCAAAGUCCCAGAAGCAGCUGGAUGGAGGGCAUCCCACAGUUAGGACGGAGGUUUCGUGGUGUCGUUGAGCCCGGGGAGGAGGGAAGGGUUCCCGUUUUCCUGCUUUGGGGAGCCCCGGCUGGCAGAGGAAGGGACCCCGCUCCCGAAGGGAGAGGCCACGCUGCCCGUGGACGCCGGCCGGAGCUCGGCCGCCGGCACAUCCCGCUCGGGGGGCCUCAGCCCAGGGGGCUGCAGGGGGAAAGCCAUGGGGAAGCCUGCCAUGUACAGCACUCUGCCCACUCGCUUGGCCACCUGUUAAUAAAGGAAAUGAGGAAAAAAAGGAUGUGGGAUCAAUGCAGGAGGGCGAAAAGGCGCACGAACAGUCUAGAGAAUCCCGAGGGUUUUCAGGCAUAAGGUCAGGUUUUGUAUCCAAGCUGCAAAUAAAGAGGUAGGCUGCCCAGAGAAGCUGUGGAUGCUCCAUCAUCAUCCCUGGAUGUGUUCCAGGCUCUGAGCAACCUGGUCUAGGGGAAGGUGUCCUGCCUAUGGAAUCAGAUGAGCUUUAGGGUCCCUUCCCACCCAAACCGUUCUGUGAUUCUGUGGUUGCAUCACUGGAAUGAAGCACCACCAUUCCCAGUCCACCCGGAAGACAAACCAGGGGUUUCCUCCUCUAGUCCUGCAGGGCUCUGUCCUGUGCUUUCCAGCUCUGUUUUACUGGGCACUGUGGUGUGUGGCACCAAGUACUGCUGGAGCCACAAGGUCUGCCCUGAGUCUGCAUUUUCCAGGCUAAAGGUGUGCUGGGACACCCCCAGGAGAGAAGGGCUGACUCAUUCCAACCUCUUCAGUCCUUGCAUUAACAGGGUGGACAGUUUGAUAGGACAGUGCUCUGCUGCUGAUGGCACAGCACACCAUGUCCAGUUUGGAAGAGCGGGAAUUGCUCCUAAAAGGGGGAGCUGGGACCAACACAGGGAGAGGCAGAACAAAAAUCCUGCUGCGGGGAGGCUGCUGUUCCUUGCCCAGGCAGCUCUCAGCCUGCACCUCUCCCUCCUGCAGCCCCAGCCAGCUCUCCUGCAGCAGUUCUUGCCUCCCAGCAAGGGCCAAAGGCCCCACAGCCUCCCAGCACCUCCACAGCUGGUUCACAUUUGAGCUUAAACAAAAACACAGGCUGCUGUUCCACCCAGACAACUGCCACAUUAUUCAGGGAGCAGCAUCAGUGCUCCCCACUUACCUCCCCCCAGCCGUGCCUUAUUAUAGACCCUUAAACACUAUUGAUUAAAUUGAAGCUGGUUUUUCUGCUUCCAGCCCAUAUCUCAUAUUCCCCCCGCCCCAAGCCCCAUCUCGGAAUGUCUGUGAGCUAUUUGACGUCCCCUUGUUUUUUAAGGAGCAGAAAGAGUUUUAUUUCCUCCUGAAUCGACCCACGGGGAACAAUUGCCCACAGAACCUUUUUAUUAGCCCCCUCAUAAACAGGGAGGGCUGGAGGGAAAGUAGUAAAGUUGCUCUUAUUGUUUUAACAUAAUAUAACCAGUGUACAGCCCUGUGGGUUUGGGGACCUGUGCCAGAGCUGUGAGUGUCCAUGUACACAUGACAGUCACUUCCAUGACACGAUUCCCUAGGGAAUACACAGCACAGCCUGUGCUUUACAUGUGUCACAAGUGAUUAUUUUUUUUUUCCUGAACAUUAAAUGGAAAAAUAAGAGAAAUGAAGCCAGUGGAGAUGUUCUAGAUUUGAGUCCCACUGAGGGGAAGUGGAGGCAACUGGAAUGGAAUUGCCAUGGCUGGCUGUGAGGGAGGCAGGGGAAGAGCAAAGUCAUUUUAGGACAGCAAAGCUCUACAGGCAGGGACUUGGGAACCAACUCAUGGGGGGGAAAAAGGUAUUUUGAAAAGAAACAGCUAAAAGGGCACAACAGCAAACCAGUCUGUGCUGGGGAGGAAAUGCACUCCCCUAAAAGAGAACUGGACUAAUGCAAGCAAUAUAAUUUCCACUUCCAGUGCAGCCAAAUCAUCAGGACCAGUAAGUUAUGACUGGCAAGAGAUAAAGAUGUUAGAGAGGGCUGUUCCUGGCACAGCAGAGAAGGGCAAGAGCUGGGUCAUUAUUCAUUGGGGAGGGAAAGGCACAACAGCUGAGACACAUUAAAUGUGCUUCAGGCCUCACUCAAAAGGAGAACUGCCAGGAUUCAGCCAGGUACAGGGAAAAAGAGCAGCAAAAGGACCUAAUCCAGCCUAGGAAAAGAAAACUGAUUCCUGAGGUGGCUUUACAUCCCUCUUUAGGUACUUUGGGGAUGACUAUUUUCAGGUUCAGCCAGUGUGACACCACCUCCCUUCCCUCACCUGUUCACAGCUGUUCUUCCUUCCUGGCUGGUAUUUAUGGGAACCACCUGAUGUGUUUUUUCCAGCAGGAACCACUCCAUUUCAGGAGUUUCCUGCUGCAUCCCUGUUAUUUCCUCCUGAACUAUUUGCUUCUGCCCCUGGGUGCUGAACUCUGCCCGUGGUUUCUUCCUUGAAACAGCUGUGACUGGAUUUGGGUGAGGAUAUGGAAAGUUUUGGAAGGACAAGAUCGAGCUUUCUUGAGACAGAAUCGCAAAAUAAAUCACUGCUUAAUAAAUGAUAUUCAAUAAA